rnacentral:lncRNA from 1 species
UUGAAGUUAGGGCAGCGGACUUAGCGGGAUUGCGGCCUGCCCCCUCCCCCAUGCAUGACGGUGCAAUGGUCUAAGGAGCGUAUAGGGCCGAGAGCAAGCCCGGCCUGGACUAAGUCACACGUUAGGAGAGUACAAGCGAGAGGCUACAUGGACACGAUGCGACUGUGCACCACUGUACCUAAGCGACUCAACCUGGUGACCCUAGUCUCAAUGACCCAACGACCCUACUAGACAACACUGUCAGCUAGCUCUAACAGCAGUAUUUACAACAGGUUAUGAGCCCCGCCUCGUGCGGUGGCGUAGAAUCUCGAUAUGUAGCGCAAAUUCUGUCACGUUUCGCGUGAUGGUUGGCAUAACCAGCCCCAAAGCCUGCAAAGCUUCGUUGGCGGGUUGGAGGAAGCCCUCAGAAUAAGUAUCAUUACUUCCUCGUGAGCUCUAGAGGAACUACGGAGGAUUCCAACGCUUGGAGAACAUUCCGCUCGUCUACCACAAGACGACUGGGCAAGGAUCUUCGGCAUGGCUCAACUGGAGUAUAGUGUCAAAUCUUGAGAGACUUGCCGGCGCGGCCAAAUGGACGCGGGGGAGCUCGUGCGACUGUCUCAGUACGCAACUUCAUGGGGCGGUGGGCGCCCUGCCCAUCCAGCACGACCGUGAGUACGGCUGCGGCAGUCAGCUAUGGCGAUAGCAAGCACAUCAGCAAGGCACUGAGCUUGAGCAGGGCACUUACUUGCUUAUGUUUGGUGGCUGAGCGGGGCCGUAAAGCAGAGGUGUUGCCCGUGUCAGAGGUUGGCAGGGGCUUGCUGGUAUCAGUCGGUAACGUGGCUGAGACUGAGUGCUGCUCGAGGGGGGGGUAUUGAGACUGAACGAUCAGCACUCAUGGUGUGCGUGUCAAGGUCUUAACUGCUGCACGCUCAGCUAGGAUAUAAGGUCCCACAGCAUGGGGGACAGAUGACAUCCGGUUGCAUCCUUGCAGCAUGGAAGCUAAACCCCCUUCUCGAUAGUGGUGACAAGAAAUUGAACAGCAGUUCGGGGUGUGUCAACGAAGUGUGCUGACGUCUUGGUAUGUGGCUGCGCAGUGUCUGAGGUACAAGACCACAUGCGUUUGUGUUGACGGAGUCUGAGUGCCGCUGUGUAGUCCAGGGCCUCAAGCUGGCGCUGCGGGCUGGUAACUGCGUGUACCGUAUGCCCUUUGAUACCGGUAGUGGUUGCUUUCCUGGUAUUUUAGGUAUGCAAGGGUAUAUUAUUGUGUCAUCUGGACGGUAGUGACAGCUACACCCGGUCGCUUGGUCCAACCGACCGCUUGUGGGAUCGGGGCCUAGAGUGCAGUUUCAUGCCCGAAUGCCUCACCAGCGUCUGAUCAACCUGGUGUGCGCUGGGGCGGUGAGCGGUCUGGAUCCGUAAUCCGUAUACCUGUGGCGUGACACUGCUAGUGACGGUGUUGAUGGUGUGUUGGGAAACGGGGGAGCUGCCUAAAGCAGUCGACGGGAGGCUUUGUGCUGGGUGCCAUGAAGAGGCACAUGUUGCAGUACUCAAGUAGAGAGUGUGGUUGAUGCAGUCUAGCUCUGUUCCGCAACCCAAGUACACGCAGUGGUGCCUGUGGUGAUACGUGAGAGAGCUUCUGUGCGUAUUGAGAUUGGAGCGGAUGCGCCGCUUCGCAGGUAGUUGGUGAUGAGGCAGCGGGCUAUUGUAGCUGCAACCGGACUUGCAACCAACAGUAAUUGGAAUCUUGGGAAGUGUCUAAUGCUCUGGUGAAAGCGUAUGCGCUCUGUAAGGAGCGGGUGUUCUUUAAGCUUGAGGCAAGUUGUAGCGCGGCUAUCCAGAGUGCCGGCUGUAAGCUAGGGAAGCAAGUCACUUAACCCCAAGCGAGCGAUGGAGUGCCGCUCACGGGGGAGUGCCGUAUGAUAUUCGGCACCCACAUGGAGGCAAUGGAGGACAACAAGGGGAACCGAAUGUACAGUAGCGCUUGCCCUUGGUUGUUUACUCGAGCUUGGCAUGGAGCAUGCGGGAGCUGGCGAUUGUCGGAGAGGGGUUCUUGAGUGUUGUUCAUGGCGCAAGUGAGACACCGCCAACUUGACUGCGGAUGAAGACAUGAUUGCGUAUGCGCAGACGUGCGCUUAGCGUGAUAGGACUUGGUGACUGAAGCAAGCGGGUGUUACGCAGGGGCCAAUGCGGGAACGCCGUGACUAGUAUGAGGCGUACGUUAGCGCAUGCUAAAUUAGAAUCUGCGCGCUUCGGCGGCAACCUAGGACAGCGACGCGCGUAGCGUGCUGAGGAGGCCUCAAGCGAUGCUACUGCUUGGAGGAGUGUUGCGCUUGCGCGUGAACACGUUUAGUACGAGACAGUGAUCACGAGACAGUGGUUCACACGGCAGCGUUCGUGCGUGCAGCGGAGACUGCAGCAAACGCUUCGCAUCAUGAGUGUACACAUGGUGGCGAACGAUGGCGCGGAAAACGGUAUGUGCUGCAUACUGAGGUGGCUUCAGACGUGGAAGUGCUGAAGGCUAGAACUAGUCAAUUUAGAACGUACGGUUGUCACUGGUUGUCGGUUGAGUUACCGAGUUAGGGGCCAGGUAGGCGUGGAAGACCUUCCUGGGUGUUGCUGGUCCAUUCAUUGUGUUAGGACAUUCAUGCUCAGGUUUCGGUUGAAACUGGUUUGUUGCUACAGUAUGUUUCGACGUGGCGGUAGCGUUGCGAACUACUGACGUUUGUUACUCAUGCGGGUGAGUGUCAGUCCGCGGGGGAGUGUUGAAGUUAGGGCAGCGGACUUAGCGGGAUUGCGGCCUGCCCCCUCCCCCAUGCAUGACGGUGCAAUGGUCUAAGGAGCGUAUAGGGCCGAGAGCAAGCCCGGCCUGGACUAAGUCACACGUUAGGAGAGUACAAGCGAGAGGCUACAUGGACACGAUGCGACUGUGCACCACUGUACCUAAGCGACUCAACCUGGUGACCCUAGUCUCAAUGACCCAACGACCCUACUAGACAACACUGUCAGCUAGCUCUAACAGCAGUAUUUACAACAC